UACGGGGGGAGCAAGCGUUGUUCGGAUUUACUGGGCGUAAAGGGCGCGUAGGCGGCACCGCAAGUCGACUGUGAAAUCUCCGGGCUUAACCCGGAAAGGUCAGCCGAUACUGCGGGGCUAGAGUGCAGAAGGGGCAACUGGAAUUCUCGGUGGUAGCGGUGAAAUGCGUAGAUAAUCGAGAGGAACACCUGCGGCGAAGGCGGGUUGCUGGGCUGACACUGACGCUGAGGCGCGAAAGCUAGGGGAGCGAACGGGAUUAGAUACCCGUAGUGAGUC
rnacentral:rRNA from 1 species